CAGUUCUUUUCAGGCAGCUGAAGAAGACAGUUUUCCUCAGAUCGAAAAUACAAAAUCCAUAAAUGACAAUGAAAUUUGUUGCCACACUUUGUGUAGUAUUUCUUCUUAUGACCAUGGUCCUGGCCCAGAGAGAUUCGGACAGGUGCCACAAUGACUUCUCAUUUAACGAUUUUCUAGUCGAGAGCUACAGGGGCAUGUUAAACUAGGAAUAACGUUAUGAAAAACGUAAGACGCAUUAUAUCAACUUAAUAAAUUUAAGGAAAACGAA